GCCAACUCCUACGGGAGGCAGCAGUGGGGGAUAUUGCACAAUGGGGGAAACCCUGAUGCAGCGACGCCGCGUGAGUGAAGAAGUAUUUCGGUAUGUAAAGCUCUAUCAGCAGGGAAGAAGAUGACAGUACCUGAGUAAGAAGCCCCGACUAACUACGUGCCAGCAGCCGCGGUAAUACGUAGGGGGCAAGCGUUAUCCGGAUUUACUGGGUGUAAAGGGAGCGUAGACGGUUAUGUAAGUCUGGAGUGAAAGCCCGGGGCCCAACCCCGGGACUGCUUUGGAAACUGUGUAACUAGAGUACAGGAGGGGCAGGCGGAAUUCCUGGUGUAGCGGUGAGAUGCGUAGAUAUCAGGAGGAACACCAGUGGCGAAGGCGGCUUACUGGACUGUAACUGACGUUGAGGCUCGAAAGCGUGGGGAGCAAACAGGAUUAGAUACCCGAGUAC
rnacentral:rRNA from 1 species